rnacentral:lncRNA from 1 species
CCGGUCUCCGGGGUCGACGACAUAGCGGGGUAAGGUCUUCACGUCUGAGGAAGAGAUCUGUGGCUGCGGGAGAUCUCUGCGGAUUGGGGCUCCAGCCUGACUGACCCGACAGUGCGGGUGGCCUAGGGGGAGGCGCUCAGAGUAGGAACCCGGGGGUGCAGACGGGAUCUGCCGGAUCCCCAGGCGUGUGUGUGCGCGGGUAUCAGAGGAGGGGGAUUGUGAGAUCAUGAGUGACGGAGGGGACUGUGAGUGUGUGCGUGAGGUUCUAUGCACAGGCCCGGGAGGGCGUGUGGACGCAGCGCACUUUGCUGAGUGACACUGUGCCGGUGCCCCUAGGCUCCUGCUGCUUCCUCCCUCUUUCCGCUUCACAGCUGCGGGGACUGCAGCAGAGGAAUGGCCCCAGUAGGGAGGUCAGAUAUUGAGCCGAGAAUGAAGCUUUACACAAGAAAGCGCAGAAGUGCCCCCGAGUGUUCCCCAGGGGGGCAGCUACAUGUUGAGAACCACAGCGUCCUCAGAGCUCUGUCCCCAGAAACCAGCUCCAAACUGGUUGUACUGGUUGAAUCGAUUCCUCUUCCUUUUACUUCCUUCCUAUUUCGUGUGAAGUGAGGGAAAUUGUGGCUAUGGAGGGAGGGUGUUUUCAAACUUAGUCUGCGCUCCAAGAAAUGCCUGGAGUCUCACGCUUGCCGUAUCCUUCUCCAGUCGUAUUUUUAUCCAAAAGAAGGACCUGGAGGAGGAUGAGAGCGUUACUGCUGCACACCUAAAGUCAAGGGGGAGAAGCCCGAGGAAGAUUGACCAGUUUUGUAAUUCUAGCAACAUGGUCCAUGGAUCAGUGACAUUCAGGGAUGUGGCCAUUGACUUCUCUCAGGAGGAGUGGGAGUGCCUGCAGCCUGAUCAGAGGACCUUGUACAGGGAUGUGAUGUUGGAGAACUACAGCCACCUGAUCUCACUGGGAAGUUCCAUUUCUAAACCAGAUGUAAUUACGUUACUAGAGCAAGAGAAAGAGCCCUGGAUGGUUGUAAGGAAAGAAACAAGCAGACGGUAUCCAGGGGAGAAGCCCGAGGAAGAUUGACCAAUUUUGUAAUUCUAGAAACAUGGUCCAUGGAUCAGUGACAUUCAGGGAUGUGGCCAUUGACUUCUCUCAGGAGGAGUGGGAGUGCCUGCAGCCUGAUCAGAGGACCUUGUACAGGGAUGUGAUGUUGGAGAACUACAGCCACCUGAUAUCACUGGGAAGUUCCAUUUCUAAGCCAGAUGUGAUUACAUUACUAGAGCAAGAGAAAGAGCCCUGGAUUGUUGUAAGUAAAGAAACAAGCAGAUGGUAUCCAGGUAAGUGAGAGUAAAGCAGGCAGGGGGAAGCCAUCAUUGUCCCGGACAGCCCAUGUGCUCAGAGAGGAGUCACACCCCUGAGAUGUGGUUUGGAAAACUUUCUUCAAUAACCCAAGGUCCCCCACUGGACAAAAAUGCCCAAGACCUGGGAAGGAAAUAAGAUCACUGUAGGAGCUGUCCCCAAGGAACUUCAUCAUUUACUAAUCACCUAAUUUCUGUUAUUUUCUUCCUCUUUUAAUGAAGUGAGCUUCCUCUUUCUUUCCCAGUGUAAACUUUAAACAGUUUUUAAAAUUAUUUUUUAAGAGGCAGCAUCUUGCUAUGUUGCCCCAGCUGAUCUUGAACUCUUGGCCUCAAGUAGUCUUCCUGCCUCAACCUCCUAAGUAGCUGAAAUUACAGGCAUGAGCCAAUGCUUCUGGCCCCCAGUGUAAACUUUUAACACGUAUUUUGGAUCCAGCUACUUUCCAACUCUGCUUUUGCAUUUAGAUUUCUACAUGUGUUUUCACUAAGAAAUGUAUUCAUGUUCAGUAAAUAUGUAUAGAGUGCGCAUUCCUAGAAGGCAUAUGCUUGGCUCUGGUCAAUACUGUAAUGUACAGGUAAUGAACAAGACUGAGAAAGUCACUGCUGUCAUGGACUUUACCAGCAGUUGGUGAGACAUGCCUCAAACAAGUAAGCAAAUGAAUAGAUAAGGAAUACCAAAUAAUCAUGCUAUAGAGACAAGGAAAUAGGAGUGAUGGGGUGAGAAUGGCAGCACUUGGGUGCUUAGGGUACCUGUCUGGAAGUGGGCUUGCUUGCAUAGAGAUGUGAAGUAAGUGUUCAAGUACUCUAGUCAGACUGAGCAGGAAACACAAAGGUGGAGUAAGUAAUGGAACAGCGGGAAGAAAGGUCUGAGAGUUACGUCGGAGUCGUAUCAUACAGGGUUUUGACUGUCGUUGUGAGGAAUGUGGGAAGUUCUUCAAGAGUUAUUUAUUCAUUUUUAAUUGAUACCCAAUAUUUGUACAUAUUUAUGGGAUACAUGUUAUGUUUUGUUCCAUGCAUAGAAGGUGUAAUGAACAAGUGUCAGGGUAUUUGAGGUAUCCAUCAGAUCCACCAGAGGAGGGUUUAUCAUUUCUUUCUGAUAGGAACAUUUCAAGUCUUCUAGCUAUUUUGAAAUAUACAAUACAUUGUUGUUAAUUAGAGUCACUCUACUCUGCUUAUGAACAUUAGAAGUCAUUCCUCAUAUUUAACUGUAUGUUUGUAACAUUAACCAACUCCUCUUCAUCCCCCACCCCUCACCCACACACCCUUCCCAGCCUCUGGUUUCUAUCAUUCUAUUCUUUACCUCUGUGAGAUCUUUUUUUAGCCUCCAGAUAUGAAUGAGAACAUAUGAUAUUUGUCUUUCUUUUUUUUGAGUUGGAGUCUCAUUCUUGUCGCCCAGGCUGGAGUGCAGUGGUGCGAUCUUGGCCCACUGCAACCUCCACCUCCUGGGUUCAAGCAAUUCUCCUGCCUCAGCCUCUAGAGUAACUGGGAUUACAGGUGCCUGCCACCACGCCUGGCUAAUUUUUGUAUUUUUAAUAGAGACAGGGUUUCACCACAUUGGCCAGGCUGGUCUCAAAUUCCUGACCUCAGGUGAUUCACCCACCUCGGCUUCCCAAAGUGCUGGGAUUACAGGUGUGAGCCACUGCGCCCAGUCUGAUAUUUGUCUUUCUGACCUCCGAUUCCCUCCAUGUUGCUGCAAAUGACAUGAUUUCAUUUUUUAAAUGCCUGAAUAGUAUUCCAUGUGUAUAUAUCACAUUUUCUUUAUCUGUUUGUCUGUUGGGGGACACUUAGGUUGAUUCCAUACCUUUGGUAUUUUGAAUAAUGCUACAGUAAUCAUACAAGUGCAGGUAUCAUUUUGAUAUACUGAUUUUAUCUUCCUUUGGAUUAAUACCCAGUAGUGGGAUUGUUGGAUCAUAUGGUAGUUCUAUUUUCAGGUUUUUGAGAAAUCUGCAUGCUGUUUUCCAUAGUGAUUGUACUAAUUUAUAUCCCACCAACAGUAUAUAAGAGUUCCCUUUUUCCCUCAUCCUCUCAGGUAUGUUUAAACCCAAUGUUUCUUUGUUAAUUUUCUCUCUAGAUGAUCUAAUUCUGAGAGUGGCACAGUGACGUCCCCAGUGAUUAUUAUACUGUAGUAUCUCUCUCCCUUUUGCUCUAAUAAUAUUUGCCUUAUAUAUCUGGGUGUUCUGGUGUUGGUGUUAUAUGUUUAGAAUUGUUAUAUUCUCUUGCUGAAUUGAUCCCUUUAUCAUUAUAUGAUGACCUUCUUUGUCUCUUUUUGCUGUUUUUUACUUAAAAUCUGUUUUUUUCUGAUAUAAACGUAGCUAUUUCUACUCACUUUUGGUUUCCAUUUGUAUGGAAUAUCUUUUCCUGUUCUUUUACUUUCAAUCCAUAUGUGUCUUUACCAGUGAGAAGAGUUUCUUGUAGGCAGCUUAUAGUUGGAUCAUGUUUUUUCAUCCAUUCAGCCCGUCUGUAUCUUUUAAAUGAAGUUUAAUCCAUUGACGUUCAGUGUGAUUACUGAUAUGUGAGGGCUGAUUCUUAUCAUUUUAUUAAUUGAUUUCUAGUUGUUUUGUUUAUCCUUUGUUCCUUUCUCUUUUAUUUUUUAUCAUUGUGGUUUGGUUGUUUUCUUUAGGGGUAACAUUUGAGUCCUUUGUCCUUAUUUGUAUGUUUGCUGUGUCAGUAGGUUUUAUACUUUUGUGUGUUUUCACAAUGGUAGAUAUUGUCCUUUCACUUCUAGGUGUAGGACUCUUGAACAUAUCUUGUAGGGUUGGUCCAGUGGUGAUGAAUUCUGUCACCUUUUGCUGUCUGGGAAAGACUAUUUCUUUUUCAUUUUUGUAGAAUACUUUGCUGAGGAUAGUGUCCUUGACUGGUGAUUUUUUUCUUUCAACACUGAAUGUAUAAUCACAUUCUCUCUCAUUUCUCUCUGUUGAGAAAUCUGCUGUUAGGCUGAUGAGAGUUUCCUUGUAAGUGACUAGAUGCUUUUCUCUUGCUGUUUUUAGUAUUCUCUUUUGUCUUUGACUUUUAUAUUUUGACCAUAAUAUGCCAUGGAGAAGACCUUUUUGUAUUGUAUCUAUUUGGGUAUCUCUGAGCUUCCUGUAUCAAGAUGUCUGCAUCUCUUACUAGAGUUGGAAAGUUUCCUGCUAUUAUUUCAUUAAAUAGAUUUUCUAUCCUUUAUGUUUUCUCUUUGUCUCUAGGACCUCAAAAAUUCAAAUAUUUUGUUGUUUUAUGAUGUCCCAUAUGUUACGGUGGCUUUAUUCAUUCAUUCAGAUGUUCUGAGGAAAACAUUUAUCCUAAGGCUUAAAAGAUGAGUUAGAGGGGUGGAACCAAGAUGGCCGAAUAGGAACAGCUCCGGUGUACAGCUCCCAGCAUGAGCGAUGCAGAAGAUGGGUGAUUUCUGCAUUUCCAUCUGAGGUACCGGGUUCAUCUCACUAGGGAGUGCCAGACAGUGCAUGCAGGACAGUGGGUGCAGCGCACUGUGUGCAAGCCAAAGCAGGGCGAGGCAUUGCCUCACUCGGGAAGUGCAAGGGGUCAGGGAGUUCCCUUUCCUAGUCAAAGAAAGGGGUGACAGAUGGCACCUGGAAAAUCGGGUCACUCCCACUCUAAUAUUGUGCUUUUCCAAUGGGCUUAAAAAACGGCACACCAGGAGAUUAUAUCCCGCACAUGGCUCGGAGGGUCCUAUGCCCACAGAGUCUCACUGAUUGCUAGCACAACUGUCUUGAGAUCAAACUGCAAGGUGGCAGCAAGGCUGGAGGAGGGGCGCCUGCCAUUGCCCAGGAUUAGGUAAACAAAGCAGCCGGGGAGCUCAAACUGGGUGGAGCCCACCACAGCUCAAGGAGGACUGCCUGCCUCUGUAGGCUCCACCUCUGGGGGCAGGGCAAAAAGACAGCAGUAACCUCUGCAGACUUAAAUGUCCCUGUCUGACAGCUUUGAAGAGAGGAGUGGUUCUCCCAGCACGCAGCUGGAGAUCUGAGAACAGGCAGACUGCCUCCUCAAGUGUUUCCCUGACCCCCGAGCAGCCUAACUGGGAGGCAACCCCCAGUAGGGGCAGACUGACACCUCACACGGCCGGGUACUCCUCUGAGACAAAACUUCCAGAGGAACGAUCAGGCAGCAGCAUUUGCGGGUCACCAAUAUCCACUGUUCUACAGCCACCACUGUUCUGCAGCCACUGCUGCUGAUACCCAGGCAAACAGGGUCUGGAGUGGACCUCUAGCAAACUCCAACAGACCUGCAGCUGAGGGUCCUGUCUGUUAGAAGGAAAACUAACAAACAGAAAGGACAUCCACACCAAAAACCCAUCUGUACGUCACCAUCAUCAAAGACCAAAAGUAGAUAAAACCACAAAGAUGGGGAAAAAACAGAGCAGAAAAACUGGAAACUCUAAAAAGCAGAGUGCCUCUCCUCCUCCAAAGGAAUGCAGCUCCUCACCAGCAAUGGAACAAAGCUGGACAGAGAAUGACUUUGACAAGUUGAGAGAAGAAGUCUUCAGACAAUCAAACUACUCCGAGCUACAGGAGGAAAUUCAAACCAAUGGCAAAAAAGUUAAAAACUAUGAAAAAAAAUUAGACGAAUGGAUAACUAGAAUAACCAAUGCAGAGAAGUCCUUAAAGGAGCUGAUGGAGCUGAAAGCCAAGGCUCGAGAACUACAUGAAGAAUGCAGAAGCCUCAGGAGCUGAUGCGAUCAACUGGAAGAAAGGGUAUCAGUGAUGGAAGACAAAAUGAAUGAAAUGAAGUGAGAAGAGAAGUUUAGAGAAAAAAGAAUAAAAAGAAAUGAACAAAGCCUCCAAGAAAUAUGGGACUAUGUGAAAAGACCAAAUCUACGUCUCAUUGGUGUACCUGAAAGUGACGGAGAGAAUGGAACCAAGUUGGAAAACACUCUGCAGGAUAUUAUCCAGGAGAACUUCCCCAAUCCAGCAAGGCAGGCCAACAUUCAGAUUCAGGAAAUACAGAGAAUGCCACAAAGAUACUCCUCGAGAAGAGCAACUCCAAGACACAUAAUUGUCAGAUUCACCAAAGUUGAAAUGAAGGAAAAAACGUUAAGGGCAGCCAGAGAGUAAGGUCGGGUUACCCACAAAGGGAAGCCCAUCAAACUAACAGCGGAUCUCUUGGCAGAAACUCUACAAGCCAGAAGAGAGUGGGGGCCAAUAUUCAACAUUCUUGAAAGAAUUUUCAACCCAGAAUUUCAUUCCAGCCAAACUAAGUUUCAUAAGUGAAGGAGAAAUAAAAUCCUUUAUAGACAAGCAAAUGUUGAGGGAUUUUGUCACCACCAGGCCUGCCCUAAAAGAGCUCCUGAAGGAAGCACUAAACAUGGAAAGGAACAACCGGUGCCAGCCACUGCAAAAACAUGCCAAAAUGUAAAGACCAUCAAGGCUAGGAAGAAACUGCAUCAAGUAAUGAGCAAAAUAACCAGCUAACAUCAUAAUUACAGGACCAAAUUCACACAUAACAAUAUUAACUUUAAAUGUAAAUGGGCUAAAUUCUCCAAUUAAAAGACACAGACUGGCAAAUUGGAUAAAGAGUCAAGACCCAUCAGUGUGCUGUAUUCAGGAAACCCACCUCACAUGCAGAGACACACAUAGGCUCAAAAUAAAGGGAUGGAGGAAGAUCUACCAAGAAAAUGGAAAACAAAAAAAGGCAGGGGUUGCAAUCCUAGUCUCUGAUAAAACAGACUUUAAACCAACAAAGAUCAAAAGAGACAAAGAAGGCCAUUACAUAAUGGUAAAGGGAUCAAUUCAACAAGAAGCGCUAACUAUCCUAAAUAUAUAUGCACCCAAUACAGGAGCACCCAGAUUCAUAAAGCAAGUCCUGAGUGACCUACAAAGAGACUUAGACUGCCACACAAUAAUAAUGGGAGACUUUAACACCCCACUGUCAACAUCAGACAGAUCAACGAGACAGAAAGUUAACAAGGAUACCCAGAAAUUGAACUCAGCUCUGCACCAAGCAGACCUAAUAGAUAUCUACAGAACUCUCCACCCCAAAUCAACAGAAUAUACAUUCUUUUCAGCACCACACCACACCUAUUCCAAAAUUGACCACAUAGUUGGAAGUAAAGCACUCCUCAGCAAAUGUAAAAGAACAGAAAUUAUAACAAACUGUCUCUCAGACCACAGGGCAAUCAAACCAGAACUCAGGAUUAAGAAACUCACUCAAAACCACUCAACUACAUGGAAACUGAACAACCUGCUCCUGAGUGACUACUGGGUACAUAACGAAAUGAAGGCAGAAAUAAAGAUGUUCUUUGAAACCAACAAGAACAAAGACACAACAUACCAGAAUCUCUGGGACACAUUCAAAGCAGUAUGUAGAGGGAAAUUUAUGGUACUAAAUGCUCACAAGAGAAAGCAGGAAAGAUCCAAAAUUGACACCCUAACAUCACAAUUAACUAGAAAAGCAAGAGCAAGCACAUUCAAAAGCUAGCAGAAGGCAAGAAAUAACUAAAAUCAGAGCAGAACUGAAGGAAAUAGAGACA